GCACCACUCGAUUUAUCUUCUUCUUCCAUUCAAAACGCUAGCGGCGGCGUUUGGUUGCAAGCUAACCGGCGGAGUUGGGUGUAUAAUACAUCCGUUCUUUCCGGCGGAAUUGGGUGUAUAAUACAGCCAACGGAGAGAGAGAUGGCUGAGUCAUUGCCGCAGCUUCUGAGCUGCUUCCUUGGACUUCAUAGAAGAAUAACCGACCACUUUUUUCGUCUGCUGGGUUUCCAAAUGUUUUCAAGAGGAUUUGGUGUUGUUGAGUAGAGAUUUGCUGUUCCUUUUUCCUCAGAGCAUCGGUGAGUUUCCAAUUUUUGAUUCAAUUUCCUUUUUUUUUAUUUAUGAAGAAAAUAGGUUUGAUUUUUUGUGCUGUUGUUGCUUUGAAGUUGGUAUUUGUACAAAUUCUGCAAGAAAUUUCGGGUUAGGGUUUAUGUAUUGAUCUACGUGUUUUAUGUGUUCAAUGUCUGAUGGUUGUACAAAUCACGGGAUUUAAGUGGAGAAUAAGAGUUAGGUUUCUGUCAUUUUCUUUUGCAGCUCCAACACUGUUUUAGCAAACUCCCAUUCUUCUUUUUUUUUUUUUAAAGAAAAGGGAUUUUUUUUCGCUACACAGCUCUUCUUCCGAAAGUCGAACUUCCAUGCUCUUUGGUCUUUUUUAUCAUCGAUUGUUGGUUUUGUGAGUGGAAUUUAGUUAUCUAAUAAGUAAUUUCAAUGGCCUCGUGUCUCAAAGAGCGGUGUUGAUUUGGCUGUCUAGUUGUUGCUUCAAUUGUUUGAUCGUUGUUAUCUAUUGGUUUUGAUGUAGAAUCCGUGAGAUCUACAACAGAAAGUUGGUUAGAAAUUA